rnacentral:rRNA from 1 species
GAUGAACGCUGGCGGCGUGCCUAAUACAUGCAAGUCGAGCGAACAGACGAGGAGCUUGCUCCUCUGACGUUAGCGGCGGACGGGUGAGUAACACGUGGAUAACCUACCUAUAAGACUGGGAUAACUUCGGGAAACCGGAGCUAAUACCGGAUAAUAUAUUGAACCGCAUGGUUCAAUAGUGAAAGACGGUUUUGCUGUCACUUAUAGAUGGAUCCGCGCCGCAUUAGCUAGUUGGUAAGGUAACGGCUUACCAAGGCGACGAUGCGUAGCCGACCUGAGAGGGUGAUCGGCCACACUGGAACUGAGACACGGUCCAGACUCCUACGGGAGGCAGCAGUAGGGAAUCUUCCGCAAUGGGCGAAAGCCUGACGGAGCAACGCCGCGUGAGUGAUGAAGGUCUUCGGAUCGUAAAACUCUGUUAUUAGGGAAGAACAAAUGUGUAAGUAACUAUGCGCGUCUUGACGGUACCUAAUCAGAAAGCCACGGCUAACUACGUG